GCUGGGCAUGGUGGCGCAUGCCUGUAAUCCCAGCUACUCGGGAGGCUGAGGCACGAGAAUUGCUUGAACCCGGGAGGCGGAGGUUGCAGUGAGCCAAGAUCGUGCCACUGCAUUCCAGCCUGGGCCACAGAGCAAGACUCUGUCUCAA
ensembl:misc_RNA Metazoa_SRP Metazoan signal recognition particle RNA